UACGGAGGGUGCAAGCGUUGCUCGGAAUUAUUGGGCGUAAAGAGCUCGUAGGCGGUUUGUCGCGUCUGCUGUGAAAACUCGGGGCUUAACCCCGGGCCUGCAGUGGGUACGGGCAGACUAGAGUGCGGUAGGGGAGACUGGAAUUCCUGGUGUAGCGGUGAAAUGCGCAGAUAUCAGGAGGAACACCGGUGGCGAAGGCGGGUCUCUGGGCCGUAACUGACGCUGAGGAGCGAAAGCGUGGGGAGCGAACAGG
rnacentral:rRNA from 1 species